AUCGCUUCUCAGACUUUUGGCUAAGAUCAAGUGUAGUAUCUGUUCUCAUCAGUUUAAUAUCUGAUACGUCCCCUAUCUGGGGACCAUAUAUUAAAUGGAUUUUUCGAACAGGAGAUGGAAAGAUGAAGAUUACUCUUACCGGUAAUUGGAUUUUCCGUAUAGCCUCCACAACGGCACUAAGC